rnacentral:lncRNA from 1 species
GAAAAACCUGCCAAAGACAAGGCCUAAUUACUAUCUACAACAACCAGCACUCCUUCAUCUUGGAAGGACGUCCAUCGAUUCACACGUCCACCUAAUUUAAAAAAAAAUUAAAUUCCUGACCAUCCAGUCAUUGCUGAGGUGUGUGAUUCCUUCUUUUCUCCAUGUGGUGCCAUCUGAUCUGUAAAAUACAAUAGAAAGAUGUCAAGUCAUUCAUUAAUCUAAUACCAUUCUUUGGAAGUUUCAUCUACCAUUGUCUCCAGUCUGAUUCUGUUCUAACUAAUAUUUCGCAGCUAUAAGUAAAUACUCUACUAGAUGACAAUCUAUGAACUUAUAAUAAAUAAAUGUGUUACAAUAAUUAGUAAAGCUGU